rnacentral:rRNA from 1 species
AGCAGCCGCGGUAAUUCCAGCUCCAAUAGCGUAUAUUAAAGUUGUUGCAGUUAAAAAGCUCGUAGUUGAAUUUCGGGAUCAGUACGCUGGUCGUGCCUUUGGUAUGUACUGGUGUCACUGAUUCCUCCCUUCUGAAGAACCGUUAUGCCAUUUAUUUGGUGUGGCGGGAAAUCAGGACUGUUACUUUGAAAAAUUAGAGUGUUUAAAGCAGGCUCGCGCUUGAAUACAUUAGCAUGGAAUAAUGAAAUAGGACGUUUGAUCUUAUUUUGUUGGUUUCUAGGAUCGACGUAAUGAUUAAUAGGGAUAGUUGGGGGCAUUAGUAUUCAAUUGUCAGAGGUGAAAUUCUUGGAUUUAUUGAAGACUAACUACUGCGAAAGCAUUUGCCAAGGAUGUUUUCAUUAAUCAAGAACGAAAGUUAGGGGAUCGAAGACGAUCAGAUACCGUCGUAGUCUUAACCAUAAACUAUGCCGACUAGGGAUCGGAUGAUGUUAAUUUUUAAUGACUCAUUCGGCGCUUAAC